CGAUGCAGGCGAAGAGGAGCCACAGCUGACCCUGGAGCUACGGCGCCCUCUGUCGGGCACGGCAGGAGGUGCCAACACAAGCCGCGCCAGCAGCAGUGCCUCCUGGAGCAGAACUCAGUCGGGUAGGCGCUCCCUCUGGCUGCGCGGCCUGGCACCGGACUCGCCGCUCGAGCUGCUCGUGUUUGCCGACAGCCCCAGAGGGCGCAGCCAGCUCGCCGCACUCAGGGCUCAAACUCUGCCCGAGGCUUCGGCAGCCCCUGGCAGUAGUGGAAGAGCUCAAGAGAGGCGAACAAAGCAGCGCCCCAUUCUGCCAGACGCCAACCAGAAGGAGGAACAGCUUCCGGAUGAAGACGACGCCAGUCAGGAGCAAAGGGGCUGCUGUCCGCUGCUCGUGACCCUGGCGUGUGCUCUUUCUGCAGGCCUGCUAGUGAUACUCCCUGUCGCCGUAUUAAUCGGUCUUCGACUGAGGAAGCAGUAUUACCGCCGCCGAAGGCGACCACCAGAAAUAUACAGCCUUCAAGAGGUCAAGUGACAAACAGCCGACGAGGCCGAAACCGUGGAGCUGCCUCCUGACGUCGAGCGCCAUUAAUGCGUGUCUGCCUACUGAGCGACGCCUCAAACAAACUAUCUGUGAUGUAACAGUGGUGUGAAUGUGGACAUUCUUCGAAAUCAAGCGUCUGUGUAGCGCCGUGGAUGUGAGUGACUUCCGCAGUACAGAAAGUGAAAGCAGCCGUCGGCUACAAGACGAGCUAUGGUCGCUUCACUCAACAGCACUUCAGACUUCUUGCUUGAACUGCCCUGCAGCCAAUGCAAAGCUAUUACGAACCAUUGCGCUCGAUGGACCGUUGGGUCCAACGCCCUUUUCUUUUAAACAAACCUCCUGGGAAAACAGCCUCUCAGCCAGCAUGUCUCAACUUGCUUUAAAGCUGUAGCGUUUGCAGUGGUUGAGAGCUGUUCUAACUUUGCUUUAGAACAAAGUUCAUCUAGUGCGCCUUCAAGAGACCGCAACGGUGCCUGUUUUCCAUUGUGGUCUGGGGUGCGGUCUUUCCUGCCACUGUGACACUGCUCAUCUCGCUUAUAUAGACAAUACUGGUGCCGUGCGUGUGAGCUCGAGGCUAACGCGGGGCGAUCUGUAAAUCGGCUGCCCAGUUUCUGAGCCUGUGCUGUGUUCACUAAUAUGAAUCUGACAGGCCGAAUCUGAGAGUGGCCUGCUAUAUUUUCGUUAACCUAUUCAGACCUUCCACGUUGUUAAGCGCGAUGUCAUGCGGACGAUGCUCAAGUGGAUCCAUUUUGCGGGUAAACUUGACGUCACAGUGAGCGAGCGAGCGAUCGAAUUAUCAUGUUAGCAUUGUAAAUAUUUAAGUCACACUGAUCUCAUGGACAUACCAGCUUUUGGAAAUACGGGCGAAGUGUGCAGAAUUAACCGAGUGUGGAAUGAAUUUUGUACAUAGGUAUUGAUUUAUGUAGGCGAUAGCUAGAUCGAGUUUGCUUCAUGGUGUACGUAUGCGACAAAAGCCUUACAUAGGCAGUCUCAUGAACCUGCGUUAUUUUUUUUUCUGUUGUUGUUGUUGUUGUUGUUGUUAGGCAGUGUAAUAUACGCUGCUUUGAUGCGCCUCUCGAAAUUACUCCUUGCCGGCUGCAGCGCUUAACUUUCGAGUACAAAGAACUUUUGUCCACGUGGUUUUAGACAACUGUUCUGAUUGGAUGAAUAGCCGAAAUCAUUUAUCUAAGUCAAAAUAAACAAGUCUGUAAAUAAAUACUUAAAUAAAUAAACAAAUGAAGAAACAAGCAAUAAGGGGAAUGAGCCUUCUAAUUGUUUCGAAGGCUUCUUCCACUUAUUCCUUGUUUCUUCUGGAAGGCUU